rnacentral:lncRNA from 10 species
CCUCCCUCCUCCCUCCCACUUCUGCCCUCUCCAGCUCCACCUAGAGCCCCUCCCAGAGCUCUCCAGGUGCCAGCCCUGGACUCCCCAGCUGGGUCCUCACACGUGCUAUUCCCUCUGCCAGGAAUUCUCUUCCAUGCACUAAAGACAGGCAGCCACAGCCUCAUCCUCCAUGUUUCAGCUCAGAUCUCCCUGCCUCUUCCCCAGGAAACUUUCCUGAUCCUCCCAGACAAGGUCAGCAGCACCGGGGCCGCUGCUUGCCUGACAUUCAACGACUUUUCACCCAAACUCCCCGCGGGGCCUGUCUGCCACGGUGGACGUCCAACUCCAUAAGGCAGGGCCCUUUUCUGUUCACUGUGACAGUUUCAUGCCUAGCUCUGCAGCUAGUAGGGGCUCAAUAAACACUUCCUGCCUUCAGGAACACAGGACACCAUCCUCUCUGGCCUUCUCUGAUAUUCAGGAGCUUGUCAAGGAAAGGAGGGUGUUGGGGAAAAAAAUUAAAAACCCUCCCAAGAAGUCAAGCAUUGCUUUGGAAAGAGUCAGCCUGAGGUUUUGUGCAGCCUGGAGCAAGUCCUUCAACCCCACAGGGGCUCCAUUUCCUCACCUGUAAAAGGAAAAGUGGAAUCCAGUCCCCAGAGGGCUAUGCGGAGACUAAACCAGGUUUGAAAGCAGGUUUCAUUUUGACCACACACGAUUAAAACCUUCAAAGCGGAUGAAAUGAUACACGCUGGAAAAGUAAAGGGAAGAAAUACAGGAACUCCUGCAAGUUUACCUGAAUCUACUGCAACAUUGAUCGGAUGGAAAUCAAGCUGAAAAACCCUAUGGAAAAUUGCCUCACGUGAGAAACCACAGCACCAAAUCCAAACUUACAAAACAAUUGCGGCCGGCGAUGGCUCACACCUGUAAUCCCAGCACUUUGGGAGGCUAAGGCAUACGGAUUACCUGAGGUCAGGAGUUUGAGACCAGCUUGGCUAACAUGGUGAAACCCCGUCUCUACUAAAAAUACAAAAAUUAGCCAGGUGUGGUGGUGGACACCUGUAAUCCCAGCUACUUGGGAGGCUGAGGCAGGAGAAUCGCUUGAACCUGGGAGGCGGAGGUUGCAGUGAGCCAAAAUGGCGCCACUGUAGUCCAGCCUGGGCAACAGAGCAAGACUCCAUCUCAAAAAAAAAAAAAAAAAAUUGCAUCAGGGUGCAGCUGUUUUCCUCUCCCAGAAUCUUUGCACAGGCUACCUUUAUUCAUUAUAUAAACAUUACGUGAAUUCUUUUUUUAAUUAUGAAAGUAACAUGUAUUUGUUUUUUAAAUUCUUAGGCUAUAUAAAAUAAUAUCAGUAAAAAGUGAUGUGGUAAUCCACCAUGCAAAGUCAAUUCUGUUCAUGGGGCCAGGCACAGUGACUCACACCUGUAAUCCUAACACUUCAGGAGGCUGAGGUGGGUGGAUCACCUGAAGUCAAGAGUUUGAGACUGGCCUGGCCAACAUGGCGAAAACCCAUCUCUACUAAAAAUACAAAAAUUAGCCAGGCGUGGUGGCAGGCAACUAUAAUCCCAGAUACUCGGGAGGCUGAGAUAAGAGAAUCGCUUGAACCCAGGAACUGGAGGUUGCAGUGAGUGGAGAUCAUGCCACUGCACUCCAGCCUGAGCAACAGAGUGAGACUCCAUCUCAAAAAAAAAAAAAAAAAAAGAAAAAGAAAAAGUCCGGGUGCAGUGGCUCACACCUGUAAUCCCAGCACUUUGGGAGGCUGAGGCGGGUGGAUCACUUGAGGUUAGGAGUUGGAGACCAGCCUGGCCAACAUGGUGAAACACCGUCUCUACUAAAAAUACAAAAAAAUUAGCCAGGCAUGGUGGUGCUCGCCUAUAAUCCCAGUUACUUGGGAGGCUGAGGCAGGAUAAUCAUUUGAAUCCCGAAGGCGGAGGUUGCAAUAAGCCGAAAUCAUGCCACUGUACUCCAGCCCAGGUGACAGAGCGAGACUUUGUCUCAAAAAAAAAAAAAAAAAAAAAAUUAGCUGGGCGUGGUGGUGUGCACCUGUAGUCCCAGCUACUGGGGAGGCUGCGCCAAGAGAAUCACUUGAACUCGGGAGGUGGAGGUUGCAGUAAGCCGAGAUUGCACCACUGCACUCCAGCCUGGGUGACAGAGUCAGACUCUGUCUCAAAAAAAAAAAAAAAAGCCUCCAGAUUUUUUUCUGUGUUUGUGACAGCAUUUCUCAACCUCUGGACUGACAUUUGAGGUUGGAUAAUUCUUUGUUGUGGGGAGAUGUCCUGUGCAUGGGUGGAUGGGUAGCAUCUCCCUAUUACUUAAUAGUUGCAGCCCCCAACCUCCACCCCUCACCAAAGUUAUGACAUUGCCAAAUGUCAUCUAGGGGGAAAUUCCAUCCUCUCUCAGAGCCCUCAUGCUCAAAAGUUGACUUCCUCCUGGUUCAUGAAAUAGGAACAAUUGGGUCAAGCUGUGGGUAAACUGCCCCCACCCCCCAACCCCCACCCUUCUCCCAAGGGGAGAUAGAAGAGAAAGAGGUGAAUUGGUGGGAAGAGGACUGGGGCCUAUGAACAGAGUAAUGACACAGUUCCUUGCUGCCAUUAUCACCAUCUUCAUUUUGGAAGAAAUCCAUCGGCCCCACCAUAUCCUCCUCCAAGGCAUUUGACCAAAGAGGCUGGCCAGCCAUCCUGACUGAAGGAACAUAAAUUGGCGGCUCUCCCUCUGUCAUCACCAAGACCCAGGAGAACUGCCGAGUGCCAGAAGCUGCUAUAAAUAGUUUACAACCGCUUGAAAAGUGCUAGAGGUGUCUCCCGUCCACCUGGCAGCAAGUUCCAUCAGGUCCAUCCGCAAAACAUGCUGGCACCCGGCUCCCCUCUGCCACUCCAGCCUACCCCCCAACCUCCUUGGAUCACUACCGGAGCCUCGUAAACUGGCCUCCCUGCCUCCACACUAACCUAUUUCUCCCACAGCAGAGGGAAUUGUCUGUUUAAAAGCCAAGUUAGAUUUUAUUUUUUCCUUGCUUAAAACCAAACGUCAACUAGAAUAAAAUCUAAGCCUCAUGCGUUGACUCUGAGCACACUGUGUCUCCUGGGCUUCCCCACCUCUCAUGCCUUGCUAUAAUUCUGGCCUUGUCUCUAUUCCUGAGCAUCUUUCCUCCCGGCCCACUUAUGGCUGGCUCACUCCCAUUAUUCAGGGCUUAAAAAAAAUGCCCCCUCUUUUGAGAAGCCUUCCCUGACCACUCUCGCUAAGGGACUCCCUGCCAUCUCUUUCGCCACCGCCUCCCCAUCGCAAAACCUCAUUUUAUUUGCAUCGUGGUACUUAGCAUGCCAGAAACUUCCCUCCUGCCUGAUGUCUUUGGCUUCCCUGACUAGGAGGAAGGUCUGGGGAGCUUCUUGGAGGCUUAUCUGCUCUUCCACUGACCAGCCUAGAAGCCUGGAUGCCCUAAAACAAGCCCUUGCCAGGUGAUUAUUAAUGAAAUGACUUAAUGAAGGCUUAGAAGGUAAGUCCCAGAUUUGAAACCUUAGCACCUACAGGAUCCUUCAGUUGGGCAUCAAUUUGGUCUUGUAAAAGACUCUGUAAGUUCUAAGAGUUUUCUGUAAAAUAAUGGCCUCCAACCAUGUCAUUACAGGGCUGAGGGAGGGAGAGGGAACUCGCAGUCUGGAGCUGAUCCCAGUGCAUCAGAGUAAACUGCAGCUACUGAUAGAGAGGAUGCUGGUGAGGUCCCCUAACUCAGGACAGAUGCUGGCAGGGGUGGGCAGGGCAUUGGCACUAAAUAAGAGCAAGGCCAGCUCUCAGCCCAACUGCCAGUUUCCUGAGCCAUUUAAGGCACAACAAUUCUCCUGAUACCUUGCAAAUCCUUCUGGCAAGAGACGGGUUAAUAAUACUAGCAGCUACUAUGUGCAGGGCACCCACCAGCAGCCGGCCAGAUGCUGCAUGCUCUGUAGCCACCGCCAUCUCAUCUGUCUUCCCAACAUCCUCACAGGGGGAUGACUAAGAUCCUCAGUUUAGGCACGAGGCAAUUGGCUCAGAAAAGUGAAGAAACUUGCCUAAAGCCACACAGCUAGGAAGUGACUGAGUCCCACCUCCACCAGCCAGCCCAGCUGCCUGGAGAGGCAGAUGAGCUCUCGACCUCAUCCCUCAAACUCAGCCGUGUCUGACUUGGGAAUGUUCAAGAUCCUAAGUCCCUUUGCAGCUCUACGCUUUUGUAUUUGCACCUAAAAUGGGACUAACAUUUCCUAUCAUGCUCAAAUUUCAUUUAUUCUUGCAAUUGUUUUAUUAAUUACUUAGCAACCACUCUGUGCCAAGUAGUACUCUAGGCCAGGGGCCAGAAAGCUUGAUCUGUCACCCGUCUGUGGAUGAGACUGUGUGAGUUAUUUUCACAGCACGCUCUACAGAGAUUCAAAUAUCCCCCUGUCCCCACCAAAAAUGUUUUUAACCUGUGAUCUCACCAUGGGGCAGGUUUUUUUAUUGUCUCAUUAACCAGAAGUAACUUAGGCCAGGGGUUAGCAAACCUUAUUUGGCCCAUCACCUGUGUUUUGCACAGCUCACAAGCUGAGAAUGGUUUUUACUCUUAUUUUUUCCUUUUUUUAAAAGUGGGUCUCACUUUGUCGCUCAGGCUGGAGUGCAGUGGCAUGAUCAUAGUUUAUUCCAGCCUCACACUCCUCAGCUCGAGUGAUCCUUCCUCCUCAGCCUCCAAAGUACCUGAGACUACAGGCAUGCACCACUAUACCCAGCUUAUUUUGUUUACUUUUUGUAGACAAGGUCUUACUAUGUUGCCCAGGCUGGUCUUGACCACCUGGGCUCAAGUGAUUGUCCUACCUUGGCCUCCCAAAGUGCUGGGAUUUAAAGGCGUGAUGCAUUUUUUAAUGGUUGAAAAAACAUUGCAAGACUAUUUCAUGACAGGUGAAAAUUAUGUGAAAUUUACAUUCUUAGCAUCUGUGGAUAAAGUUUUACUGGGUACAGCCAUGCCCAUUUUUUUGCAUAUGGUCUAAGGUUGCACUAGACCACCUGGCCUCUAAAAGCUGCAAAUAUAUAUAUAUACAUUUUUUUUUUUUGAGACAGACUCACUGUCACCCAGGCUGGAGUGCAAUGGUGUGAUCUCAGCUCACUGCAACCUCCACCUCCUGGGUUCAAGAAAUUCUCCUGCCUCAGCCUCCUGAGUAGCUGGGGUUACAGGUGCCUGCCACCACACCUGGCUAAUUUUUAUAUUUUUAGUAGAGACAGGGUUUCACCAUGUUGGCCAGGAUGGUCUCAAACUCCUUACCUCCAGUGAUCCACCUGCCUCGGCCUCCGAAAGUGUUGGGAUUACAGGCAUGAGACACUGUCCCCAGCUACAUAUGUAUCUUUUUGAGACAGGUUCAUGCUUUGUCACCCAGGCUAAAGUUCGGUGGUGUGAUCACAGUUCACUGUAACCUCCUCUUCCCAGUCCUCCCACUUCAGCCUCCAAAGUAGCUAGGACUACAGGCAUGCACCACCACACUCAACUAAUUUUUUUUUUUUUUUUUUUUUUUUUGAGAGAUGGGGUCUCAUCAUGUUGCCCAGGCCAGUCUUGAACUCCUGGACUCAAGCAUUCCUUCUGCCUCAGCCUCCCAAAGUGCUGGGAUUACAGGCCUGAGCCACCAUGCCCAGCCCAAAGCCUCAAAUAUUUACCAUCUGGCCCUUUACAAGAAUAGCUUGCCACCCUUGGUUCUGGAUCUUGUUGACAUGCUGGUGACAUAGGGCACCCCACAUGGAGCUUACACUCUAGUCCAGGAACAGCCCAUACAAAUGUCAAAAGCUGAGGCAGACCAUUCCAGAUCCUGGUCUCUGCAGUGAAGAUAGGAGAGAGCAACUUGGGAGCUGCUGUAGCCCGGAGGGUCUCUGAGGGGCUGUGUUCCAGCUCAGAGCUGCAGGAAGAGUUAGGCACAGGGGCUUCCAGAAAGAAUCUUUGAGGCAGGGGGACAGCAGAUGCAAGAUUCUGAGACAGGACCAAGCAUGAUUCCACUAUUGGCAGCAAGAUGCAAGGCUGGCGUGGAAUGGACAGGGGACCACUUGUAAGUAGGCCAGACACCACACCGUCUCCCCUUUCCGCCCUCUUAUUAUUUGAUCCUCUCAAUAACUUUGCAAGGGGCCAGGUGUGGUGGCUCACACCUGUAAUGCCAGCACUUUGGGAGGCCGAGGCAGGCGGAUCACCUGAGGUCAGGAGUUUGAGACCAGCCUGACCAACAUGGCGAAAUCCCCUUCUCCACUGAAAAUACAAAAAUUAGCCAGGUGUGGUGGCGGAUGCCUGUAGUCCCAGCUACUCAGGAGGCUGAGGCAGGAGAAUCACUUGAACCCGGAAGACAGAGAUUGCAGUGAGCUGAGAUCGCACCACUGAACUUCCGAGAUUGUGCCACUACACCCUAGCCUGGGUGACAGAGAGAGACUCUGUCUCAAAACAAACAAACAAAAAACUUUGCAAGGUAGGUAGGUGCCAUGUUAUCCAUAAACUCAGAAAAAAAAAAAAAUAAGCAGAGAUAAAUGUGCAGCAGUGAGAGGUGCAGACUCGCCCAGUCAUGAAGCUGUGAAGUGACAGAGCCAAGGCUUAACCCCAGGCCGGGUUCUUUGAUGCCAAAGUGAAAGUUGAUUCUCAUCAACCUCAACCUGGCAAGGGUGAGAAGAGAAGGAACAAGAAAAAGGGAGAGGCUGGUUCCCGGGAUCCAGAACCACAUCAAAAUCCCCAAGGCAACAAGAUGAAUUUCAGACUGUGGGGAAAGAAAGAUGGUAACCCAACUAUUCCCUUUCUAUUUCCCCAUCCACAACCCAAGCUCCCUGGGUGGAAAAAAAGGCAGGAGAUAAAAAUGCCAACCACAGAACACUUGAUUCACAUCCCACUCUGAGGUAUUUCCCCAGAACAGAGGAAAGAAUGCUAGGCGUGGCGGCUUACUCCUGUAAUCCCAGUGCUUUGGGAGGCUGAGUCAGAAGGAUCACUUGAGACCAGGAGUUCAAGACCAGCCUGGGCAACAUAGUGAGACCCUGUCUCUAUAAAAAUAAAAAUAAAAAAUUAGCCAGGCAUGGUGGUGCGCACCUGUACUCCCAGCUACUCGGGAGCUGAGGUGGGAGGAUUGCUUGAGCCCAGGAGGGAGAGGCUGCAGUGAGCCACGAUCACAUCACUGGAUUCCAGCCUGGGUGGCAGAGGGAGACCCUGUCUCAAAAAGGAAAAAAAAAUAAAAAGGCCGGGCAUGGUGGCUCAUACCUGUAAUCCCAGCACUUUGGGAGACUAAGGCAGGCGGAUCACUUGAGGUCAGGAGUUUGAGGCCAGCCUGGUCAACCUGGUGAAACCUCAUCUCUAAGAAAAAUACAAAAAUUAGCCAGGCGUGGUGGCAGGACCUGUAAUCCCAGCUACUCAGGAGGUUGAGGCAGGAGAAUCACUUGGGCCUAGGAGGUAGAGGUUGCAGUGAGCCAAGAUUGCACCACUGCACUCUAGCCUGGGCAACAGAGCAAGACUCCUCAAAAAAAAAAAAGGGCCAGGUACGGUGGUUCAUGCCUGUAAUCCCAGCACUUUGGGAAGCCAAGGCAGGGGGAUCACCUGAGGUCAGGAGUUUGAGACCAGCCUGGCCAACAUGGUGAAACCCUGUCUCUACUAAAAAUACAGAAAUUAGCCAGGUGUGGUGGUGCAUGCCUGUAAUCCCAGCUACUCAGGAGGCUGAGGCAGGAAAAUUGCUGAGGCGGAGGUUGCAGUGAGCCACGAUCCCGCCAUUGCACUCCAGCCUGGGCGACAGAACAAGACUCUGUCUCAAAAAAGAAAAAAAAAAGGCCAGGUGCGGUGGCUCACGACUGUAAUCCCAGCACUUUGGGAGGCCGAGGCGGGUGGAUCACGAGGUCGGGAGAUCGAGACCAUCCUGGCUAACAUGGUGAAACCCCGUCUCUACUGAAAAAAAAAUGCAAAAAAUUAGCAGGGCAUGGUGGCGGGCACCUGUAGUCCCAGCUACUCGGGAGGCUGAGGCAGGAGAAUGGCGUGAACCCGGGAGGUGGAGCGUGCAGUGAGCCAAGAUUGCAACAUUGCACUCCAGCCUGGGCGACAGAGCGAGACUCCAUCUCAAAAAAAAAAAAAAAGAAGAAGAAGAAGAAAGCACAUCUACACAGAGAUGCACACAGGAAUUCUCAGCAGCUGUAUUUGUAAAAGACAACAACUGGAGAACUGGAGACAACCCAAAUGUCUAUCAACUGGGGAUUAGAUAAACAAAUUGUGGCAUAGCUGCAUAGCUGUACAACGGAGUAGUGCUUGCCAAUAAAAAGAACAAACUUCAGAUACAAGCAACAGCAUGGAGAUCUCAACUGCAUUGUGCUGAGUGAAAGCAGCCGACAAAAUAAAAAUAAUGCAUUAUCUCUUUUUCUGUAUGCUUCUAUUUAUGUACAAUUCUACGAACGCAAAUGAAUCCAAAGUGGCAGGAAGCAGGUCAGUAGUUGGCUGGGGGCAGAGUUGUGAGGAGGGGUAGAAGGAAGGAUGAUAAAAGAACACAAGGGAACUAUAUUUCGGGGCAACGGGUGUGCCCAUUAUGUUGACUAUGGUGAUGGUUUCAUAAAACACUAAAUUGUGGCUGGCCGUGAUUGCUCACACCUGUAAUCCCAGCACUUCGGGAGGCAGGGGCAGGAGGAUUCCUUGAGCUCAAGAGUUUGAAACCAACCUGGGCAAUACAGGGAGAUACCCUGAUACAAAAAAAUCAAACAAUUAGUGGGUGUAACGGUGCACGCCUGUAGCCCCAGGUGCUCAGGAGGCUGAGGCAGGAAGAUUACUUGAACCCAAGAGGUCAAGGCUGCAGUGAGCUGUGAUCACAUCAUGAAAUGCCAGCCUGCGUGCUACAGUAAGACUCUGUCUCAAAACAAAACAAGACAAAAACACUAAAU